rnacentral:rRNA from 1 species
UACGUAGGGUGCGAGCGUUGUCCGGAUUUACUGGGCGUAAAGAGCUCGUAGGUGGCUUGUCGCGUCGUCUGUGAAAGUCUGGGGCUUAACUCCGGGUGUGCAGGCGAUACGGGCUGGCUUGAGUGCUGUAGGGGAGACUGGAAUUCCUGGUGUAGCGGUGGAAUGCGCAGAUAUCAGGAGGAACACCGAUGGCGAAGGCAGGUCUCUGGGCAGUCACUGACGCUGAGGAGCGAGAGCAUGGGUAGCGAACAGGAUUAGAUACCCUGGUAGUCCAUGCUGUAAACGGUGGGCGCUAGGUGUGGGGACUUUCCAUGGUUUCCGUGUCGUAGCUAACGCGUUAAGCGCCCCGCCUGGGGAGUACGGCCGCAAGGCUAAAAACUCAAAGGAAUUGACGGGGGCCCGCACAAGCGGCGGAGCAUGUGGAUUAAUUCGAUGCAACGCGAAGAACCUUACCUGGGUUUGACAUGCACUAGAUUAGGCGAGAGAUCGUCUGUCCCUUUGUGGCUGGUGUGCAGGUGGUGCAUGGUUGUCGUCAGCUCGUGUCGUGAGAUGUUGGGUUAAGUCCCGCAACGAGCGUAACCCUUGUCUUAUGUUGCCAGCACGUUGUGGUGGGGACUCGUAAGAGACUGCCGGGGUGAACUCGGAGGAAGGUGGGGAUGACGUCAAAUCAUCAUGCCCCUUAUGUCCAGGGCUUCACACAUGCUACAAUGGCCGGUACAGUAGGUUGCGAGACCGUGAGGUGGAGCUAAUCCUUUAAAGCUGGUCGUAGUUCGGAUUGGGGUCUGCAACUCGACCCCAUGAAGUCGGAGUCGCUAGUAAUCGCAGAUCAGCAACGCUGCGGUGAAUACGUUCCCGGGCCUGGCACRCACCGCCCG